UGCAGCUCAGUGGCAGAGUACUUGCCUAGCACACAUGUGGCCCUGGGUUCAAUCCCCAGUACUGCAA
rnacentral:tRNA from 1 species